rnacentral:rRNA from 1 species
CCUACGGGUGGCAGCAGUGAGGAAUAUUGGUCAAUGGCCGAGAGUCUGAACCAGCCAAGUCGCGUGAGGGAAGAAUGUCCUAUGGAUUGUAAACCUCUUUUGUCAGGGAGCAAAGUCCCCCACGUGUGGGUGUUGGCGCGUACCUUAAGAUACAGCAUCGGCUAACUCCGUACCAGCAGCCGCGGUAAUACGGAGGAUGCGAGCGUUAUCCGGAUUUAUUGGGUUAAAGGGGUGCGUAGGCGGGUUAUCAAGUCAGCGGUAAAAACGUGGAGCUCAACUCCAUCCAGCCUUUGAAACUGAUGAUCUUGAGGGGGAGAGAAGUCUGCGGAAUGCGUGGUGUAGCGGUGAAAUGCAUAGAUAUCGCGCAGAACUCCAAUGGCGAAGGCAGCAUACCGGAGCCAGACUGACGCUGAAGCACGAAAGCGUGGGUAUCGAACAGGAUUAGAUACCCUUGUAGUC